ensembl:lncRNA ASMER1 adipocyte associated metabolic related lncRNA 1
GGCCCUUCCACCAUGUGAGUAUACAGAGAGAAGGUAUGAUCCAUGGAUCAGGAAACCAGCCUUCCCUAGACAUGGAAUCUGCUGGCACCUUGAUUUUGAACUUCCCAGACUCCAGAACUACUCCUGCCCCUGCCACGAGAACACACCCUUUCCAGUUUGCUGGAGAAAUAUAAGAGAAGUCCAGUGAAAGAGAGCUGAGUUUCCCCAAUGAUGCCAUCAAGAUGAACUAACUACAGUUAACCAGCCAGCUGAUAGCAGAUGCAUGAGUGAGCCCAGCUGAGAGCAGUGCCUACAAUAGUUCCUGGUAUGUAGAAGGUAUACAAUAAAUAUUGGCGGAGUGAAGGAACAAAUGGGAUUUGCUUGAUUCUGCUGCAGAAGACUAAGAAAAAGACAUAAAUGAAUAAAUAACUAGUAGAAUGUUAACACAAUCAGAAAAAGGACCAUUUCUUUUCAUUUGGAUGUCUCAAAUCUAUUUGUUGUUUUUGUUGUUGUUGUUUUUCUGGCUGGGCUUGAAAUGUAGGCAUGCAGCCAGGAGGCUCCAUGCUGACUAAUGAGAUAGAGGUACCCAUUUAGCCCAGCAAUAUUCAUACAUUGUAUAUGCAUUCAUUUUUCUCUAGUGACUUUUUAAUAUAUUUUGGUGAAGAUAUUCCCAAGAUAAUGAAGAUAUGUUGAGUGGGCAUUAAAAGUGAUGAGUCUUUUUUUCCAUUAUCAAAGACAAAUACAGGUGUGUGAUGUAUGCAGAGAAUUAGAAGUAGGGAAAAAAAUGAGGGAAUCCAAAAUAAUGAAAAGAAAUUAAAGCUCUCCAAUAAUCGAAAGAAAGGCCAAACUGAAAACAUAAAUCUCCAGACUCUGCAAGGAUUUAUACUGAUGUGGGGCAUGUGGACCAAUGGCUUUCAGGAUGUGAUUCAUUUUGAAAAAAGUGUCAUUUCCAUUGCCAAGUAGAGUUCAUGGUUUAGUGAAAAUUUCAUCUUCAGUCUGAUCACAUGAGCCAAAUUCUGGCCCUAUAUAUUCUGAUGUGAGGAAUGAAGUAUUUCUAGUUUAUUUGUGAGAUUCCAAGCAUAAUAUCCAGGAGGGUUAGUCACAUUACAGCUAAGGUAAGAUUUUGUUAUAUUUGUGUUAGUCCUUAUUCUAGGCACUGAAAUUUCCUUGUAACAUUACUUGAAAAAGCAUAAGAACUAUUUAAUGAAAGAAUGCUUUGGCUCUGCCCAAAUGACCAAGAAAGACAUCAACUCACUUAUAACACAGUCUUGAUGGUCAGACCAAAAGGUACGUGAUUGUCAAUUAUUUUCAGCAGAGACUCAUAGAACAACAAAGCAGGGAAGAAUCUGAACAGGGAUUGGACUUUAAAGAACAAGUAUCAUUGAUCAAUUAAAAAAAAUGGUCAUGGGCUGGGCACAGUGGCUCACACCUAUAAUCCCAGCACUUUGGGAGGCCGAGGUGAGAGGAUUGCUUGAGUCCAGGAGAGACCAGCCUGGGCAAUAUAGUGAGACCCCAUCUCUACAAAAUUUUUUAAAAUUAGCUGAGCAUGGUGGCAGAUGCUUAUAGUUCCAGCUAAUUGGGAGAAUGAGGUAGGAGAAUCACUUGAGGUUGGGUGGUGGAGGUUGCACUGAGCUGAGAUCACUCCACUGCAUGCCAGCCUGGGAGAUAGAGCAAGACCUUGUCUCAAAAAAAAAAAAAAA